rnacentral:rRNA from 1 species
GGAUUGAACGCUGGCGGCAUGCCUAACACAUGCAAGUCGAACGGGAGUAGCAAUACUCUAGUGGCGGACGGGGUGAGGAAUACGUAGGAAUUUGCCCUUAAGUGGGGGAUAACCCGGGGAAACCCGGAUUAAUACCGCAUGACCUCGAAAGAGCAAAGUGGGGGAUCGCAAGACCUCACGCUUUUGGAGAAGCCUACGUCGGAUUAGCUAGUUGGUGAGGUAAUGGCUCACCAAGGCGACGAUCCGUAACU